rnacentral:rRNA from 1 species
GUAAGUCUCAGUUCGGAUUGAAGGCUGAAAUUCGCCUUCAUGAAGCCGGAAUUGCUAGUAAUGGCAGGUCAGCAUACUGCCGUGAAUACGUUCCCGGGCCUUGUACACACCGCCCGUCACACCAUGAGAGUUGGGAAUACCCGAAGCUUGUGAGCUAACGUUAAGAGGCAGCAGUCGAAGGUAGAAUCAAUGAUUGGGGUGAAGUCGUAACAAGGUAAC